UACAGAGGGUGCGAGCGUUGUUCGGAAUUACUGGGCGUAAAGGGCUCGUAGGCGGCCAACUAAGUCAGACGUGAAAUCCCCAGGCUCAACCUGGGAACUGCGUCUGAUACUGGAUGGCUUGAAUCCGGGAGAGGGAUGCAGAAUUCCAGGUGUAGCGGUGAAAUGCGUAGAUAUCUGGAGGAAUACCGGUGGCGAAGGCGGCAUCCUGGACCGGCAUUGACGCUGAGGAGCGAAAGCUAGGGGAGCAAACGGG
rnacentral:rRNA from 1 species